rnacentral:rRNA from 1 species
GAUGAACGCUGGCGGCGUGCCUAAUACAUGCAAGUCGAGCGAACAGAUGAGGAGCUUUCUCCUCUUACUUUAUCGGCGGACGUGUGAGUAACACGUGGAUAACCUACCUAUAAGACUGGGAUAACUUCGGGAAACCGGAGCUAAUACCGGAUAAUAUAUUGAACCGCAUGGUUCAAUAGUGAAAGACGGUUUUGCCGUCACUUAUUGAAUGAUCCGCGCCUCAUUAGCUAGUUGGUAAGGUAACGGCUUACCAAGGCAACGAUGCGUAGCCGACCUAAAUGGGUGACCGGCCACCCUGUCACUGAGCAACGGUCCAGACUCAGAGGGAAGGCACCCGUAGGGAAUCUUCCGAAAUGGGCGAAAGCCUGACGGAGCCACACAGGGUGAAUGAUGAAGGUCUUCGGCUCGUAAAACUCUGUUAUUAGGGAAGAACAAAUGUGUAAGUAACUAUGCACGUCUUGACGGUACAUAAUCAGAAAGCCACGGCUAACUACGUG